GUGUAGCAGUGAAAUGCGUAGAUAUCUGGAGGAACACCAAUGGCGAAGGCAGCUAUCUGGACGAUUACUGACGCUCAGGCACGAAAGCAUGGGGAGCGAAAGGGAUUAGAUACCCCUGUAGUCCAUGCCGUAAACGUUGUACACUAGAUGUUCGAGGAUUCGACCCCUUGAGCGUUCAAGCUAACGCGAUAAGUGUACCGCCUGAGGACUACGGCCGCAAGGCUAAAACUCAAAGGAAUUGACG
rnacentral:rRNA from 1 species